UUGGAGGGCAAGUCUGGUGCCAGCAGCCGCGGUAAUUCCAGCUCCAAUAGCGUAUAUUAAAGUUGUUGCAGUUAAAAAGCUCGUAGUUGAAUUUCGGGAUUGGCGCAUCGGUCGUGCCUUACGGGGUAUGAACUGGUGCAGUCAAUUUCUCACCUUCUGGAGAACCGCGAUGUCCUUAAUUGGGUGCCGCGGGGAACCAGGACCUUUACUUUGAAAAAAUUAGAGUGUUUAAAGCAGGCAUUUUUGCUUGAAUACAUUAGCAUGGAAUAAUAAAAUAGGACGGCAUGGUUCUAUUUUGUUGGUUUCUAGGACCACCGUAAUGAUUAAUAGGGAUAGUUGGGGGCAUUAGUAUUCAAUUGUCAGAGGUGAAAUUCUUGGAUUUAUUGAAGACUAACUACUGCGAAAGCAUUUGCCAAGGAUGUUUUCAUUAAUCAAGAACGAAAGUUAGGGGAUCGAAGACGAUCAGAUACCGUCGUAGUCUUAACCAUAAACUAUGCCGACUAGGAAUCAGACGAUGUUAAUUUUUUAAUGACUCGUUCGGCGCCUUACGGGAAAC
rnacentral:rRNA from 1 species